rnacentral:lncRNA from 1 species
UCCAAGUUGAAAAGUUACCUCUUCCUCUGAGAGGGGAGAAAAAAGGAAAUGAUACUGGAGAGAUCUGAGGUUCGAUGUUGGGAUGAAAUGAGAUCAUGAGGAGUCAUUAAACAAAGGAGGUUUACUUUGUUUAAAUCCAGUAAGGACAUACAGGAUACA